ensembl:lncRNA
CUGAACCUCUGAAACUGUAAGUCAGCCCCAGUGAAAUAUCUUCCUUUAUAAGAAGAGUUGCCUUGGUAGUCUCUUCACAGCAAUGAAACCCUAACCUAGAUAGUGACUUGUUCCAUAACUGUAGCCAUCAGAAAGAUGGGGCAAGGGGAUUUCUGUGAGUUCGAAGCCAGCCUGGAGGACAUGGUGAGCACCAGUUCCUAACCUUAAAAACCGCAAGCACUUAUGGAAGACUUAUGUUCCAGUUCCCACUUAGUAGCUCCUGGAUAGAUUCAUUCCUGAAGUUUGCCCCAGGUACAAUAAGAGAUUUGACAUUUGAAAAGAUAUCCCUGCCAGGGGAGAAUUUGGUGAAGACUGC